rnacentral:rRNA from 1 species
UACGUAGGGUGCGAGCGUUGUCCGGAAUUAUUGGGCGUAAAGAGCUCGUAGGCGGCUUGUCGCGUCGACCGUGAAAACUUGGGGCUCAACCCCAAGCCUGCGGUCGAUACGGGCAGGCUCGAGUUCGGUAGGGGAGACUGGAAUUCCUGGUGUAGCGGUGAAAUGCGCAGAUAUCAGGAGGAACACCGAUGGCGAAGGCAGGUCUCUGGGCCGAUACUGACGCUGAGGAGCGAAAGCGUGGGGAGCGAACAGG